rnacentral:rRNA from 1 species
GACGAACGCUGGCGGCGUGCUUAACACAUGCGAGUCGAACGGAAAGGCCCUGCUUUUGUGGGGUGCUCGAGUGGCGAACGGGUGAGUAACACGUGAGUAACCUGCCCUUGACUUUGGGAUAACUUCAGGAAACGGGGGCUAAUACCGGAUAGGAGCUCCUGCUGCAUGGUGGGGGUUGGAAAGUUUCGGCGGUUGGGGAUGGACUCGCGGCUUAUCAGCUUGUUGGUGGGGUAGUGGCUUACCAAGGCUUUGACGGGUAGCCGGCCUGAGAGGGUGACCGGCCACAUUGGGCCUGCGAUACGGCCCAGACUCCUACGGGAGGCAGCAGUGGGGAAUAUUGCACAAUGGGCGGAAGCCUGAUGCAGCAACGCCGCGUGCGGGAUGGCGGCCUUCGGGUUGUAAACCGCUUUCGCCUGUGACGAAGCGUGAGUGACGGUAAUGGGUAAAGAAGCACCGGCUAACUACGUG